CGGUGGGUGCAAGCGUUGUCCGGAUUUAUUGGGUUUAAAGGGUGCGUAGGCGGUCAAAUAAGUCAGCGGUGAAAUCCUCCGGCUCAACUGGAGAACUGCCGUUGAUACUGCUUGACUUGAGUUCGUCCGAGGUCGCUGGAAUGCGUGGUGUAGCGGUGAAAUGCAUAGAUAUCACGCAGAACACCGAUUGCGAAGGCAGGUGACUGGGACGCGACUGACGCUGAGGCACGAAAGUGUGGGGAGCAAACAGGAUU
rnacentral:rRNA from 1 species